AUUUGGUUUUAUUUUGGAAUUGGGUUAUAUGGUGGAUGUAUUUGAAUCAAUAUUUAUAAAAUUUUAAAAUAUUAUUAAUAUGCUGUUUUAAUAAGGAUUAAAACUUCAGUUUUUUAACAAUUAUCUAAUGGAUUUGUGGUAUAGCGUUACCUAAUAACAAUUAUAAACUGUAAAAUAAAAAUA
rnacentral:sRNA from 1 species